rnacentral:misc_RNA from 1 species
AUUCAACAUAUACAAAUCAAUAAAUAUAAUCCAACAUAUAAACAAAACCAAAAACAAAAACCACAUAAUUAUCUCAAUAAAUACAAAAAAAACCUUUAACAAAAUUCAACAACCCUUCAUACUAAAAACUCUCAAUAAAUUAAAUAUUAAUAAAACGUAUCUCAAAAUAAUAAAAACUAUCUAUAACAAACCCACAACCAAUAUCAUACUAAAUAAACAAAAACUAAAAACAUUCCCUUUAAAAACUAACACAAAACAAAAAUACCCUCUCUCACCACUCCUAUUCAACAUAAUAUUAAAAAUUCUAACCAAAACAAUC